UGGACAUGCGAUACGGGUGACUUCUGACCCAUUUGAUAUUACGAUUGCUUAUAACGCUAACACCGACCAGAUCCAAGCACUGGUUGAUAUCUCUUCCGGCUGUCGUCAGAGACUCAUUGCCGAGUGUAGGAACGCCCAUUUGUGGAUAGGCGAGACGCAGUUGGGAUGGUGGGUGGCUAAUGAUGGCACAAGGAUGCGCAAUUGGGCCGGGGCGGCGUUUGGUAUCAAAGGUUGUAGCUGCUUUGGAUCCUGUGCUGGUAGUGACCCGACUUCUCGGUGCAACUGUGGCGCAUACGCCAAUCACUGGCACACGGAUGGUGGCUUCAUCGUCGACAAGGCGCGGCUGCCAGUGAAGGCGCUUCACUUCGACAGUGCUGCACCACCCAAUGAGCUCUACUACAACUUGGGCAGGUUGCAGUGCGCAACAGCGCCCACAGGCUAACCGUGUUCGAUCCUCUCGAUAUGGGGUAAAGAAGUGUACGAUCAUGGAUGUUCGCUUCUCCUGGGCGACCUAUAGGAAAUUCUGCCCCUGUUGCUGAGGGAACUGAGAAAGACCAGCUAAGAAGACUUUCGUCACUUCGUGAGUCUCUGUGGCCUGUUGAAACUAUUUUAGAAUUGAAUUCUUAGUGUUGAUAUCAGAUACAACAUUAGCCGAGGAAUUGUACAUCAAUAAGGAGAUCGCAAUAGAUAGUAGGUGGGGCAUGAUGGGACACGGGGCAAGAUGGGACAGCUUAAGAACUUUAUCAGCAAGCAACAGAUGGCGCUGUGACACAGUGCUGUGAAUAAACCGACACAAGACAGUCAUAUUUGCAUCACAAAUACGUUGAGUUGGUCUUGAGUCUUCUCGGAAAAAUCGAAAAAAAUUAUAUUGGGGGACAUUUCACGUUAGUAAGAUGUUUAGCGAUCCCUAGCAAAUCACAGUACGGUACAGAGUGGUAAUAUCGCGUAGUUUGGCCAGGUUAUUAGUCUAUUGUGUCACAGAAGAGCCAGAAGUAUUCAACUCUGUGCAUGUGUUUUACAGUGGCUUCAUAAAAUAACUGCAUGCAUGUAGAGCAGGAUGGGACAGGUCGUCUUGGGCAAGAUGGGACAGUGCCCAAUCACAAUUUCAUGCAGUUUCAGUUGGCCUACAUUUGUCGAGCAACUUUUGUGCUUAUCAUAUCCCUCAGGAAAUUUCACGGUGUGAUAUUGCUAAAGAAUUAUGCCUUCCUUUAGUUAAACCCGUUUCCCAAGGGACUUAAGAAUUAAAGGAAACGAUUAAAUUAUCUCCAAACCCCAAGAACGGACCACUAAUAAUUAAUAUGCAACCGCAAUGUAUC